rnacentral:rRNA from 1 species
GACGAACGCUGGCGGCGUGCUUAACACAUGCAAGUCGAACGGAAAGGCCCUGCUUUUGUGGGGUGCUCGAGUGGCGAACGGGUGAGUAACACGUGAGUAACCUGCCCUUGACUUUGGGAUAACUUCAGGAAACUGGGGCUAAUACCGGAUAGGAGCUCCUGCUGCAUGGUGGGGGUUGGAAAGUUUCGGCGGUUGGGGAUGGACUCGCGGCUUAUCAGCUUGUUGGUGGGGUAGUGGCUUACCAAGGCUUUGACGGGUAGCCGGCCUGAGAGGGUGACCGGCCACAUUGGGACUGAGAUACGGCCCAGACUCCUACGGGAGGCAGGAGUGGGGAAUAUUGCACAAUGGGCGGAAGCCUGAUGCAGCAACGCCGCGUGGGGGAUGACGGCCUGCGGGUUGUAAACCGCUUUCGCCUGUGACGAUGCGUGAGUGACGGUAAUGGGUAAAGAAGCACCGGCUAACUCCGUG